rnacentral:rRNA from 1 species
CCCUUAGAUGUUCUGGGCCGCACGCGUGCUACACUGAGUGGAUCAGCGGGUCAGGUUGCCCGAAAGCGUUUCCUAAUCUUUAAAUCCGCUCGUGAUGGGGAUUGACGGUUGCAAUUUUCUGUCAUGAACGAGGAAUACCUUGUAAGCGCGGGUCAUCAUCCCGCGCUGAAUACGUCCCUGCCCUUUGUACACACCGCCCGUCGCUCCUACCGAUUGAGUGGUCCGGUGAGGCUUUGGGAUCUGAGCGGAAAGAGCGUUUCGCUGUUUCUGCUCGGAAAACUCAGUCGAACCUUAUCAUUUAGAGGAAGGAGAAGUCGUAACA